UCGACCGCCUGGGGAGUACGGCCGCAAGGUUAAAACUCAAAUGAAUUGACGGGGGCCCGCACAAGCGGUGGAGCAUGUGGUUUAAUUCGAUGCAACGCGAAGAACCUUACCUGGUCUUGACAUCCACAGAACCUUGUAGAGAUACGAGGGUGCCUUCGGGAACUGUGAGACAGGUGCUGCAUGGCUGUCGUCAGCUCGUGUUGUGAAAUGUUGGGUUAAGUCCCGCAACGAGCGCAACCCUUAUCCUUUGUUGCCAGCGGUCCGGCCGGGAACUCAAAGGAGACUGCCAGU
rnacentral:rRNA from 1 species